rnacentral:rRNA from 1 species
UACGUAGGGGGCGAGCGUUGUUCGGAAUUACUGGGCGUAAAGCGCACGUAGGCGGCUUUGUAAGUUAGAGGUGAAAGCCCGGGGCUCAACUCCGGAAUUGCCUUUAAGACUGCAUCGCUAGAAUUGUGGAGAGGUAAGUGGAAUUCCGAGUGUAGAGGUGAAAUUCGUAGAUAUUCGGAAGAACACCAGUGGCGAAGGCGACUUACUGGACAAAUAUUGACGCUGAGGUGCGAAAGCGUGGGGAGCAAACAGG